rnacentral:rRNA from 1 species
CUACACGACCGUACCGCAAACCGACACUGGUGCGCGAGAUGAGUAUUCUAAGGCGCUUGAGAGAACUCAGGAGAAGGAACUCGGCAAAUUGACACCGUAACUUCGGAAGAAGGUGUGCCUUUAGUAGGUGAACCUGUACAAGGGGAGCCCAAUGAGGUUGCAAAAAAUCGGUGGCUGCGACUGUUUAAUAAAAACACAGCACUCUGCAAACACGAAAGUGGACGUAUAGGGUGUGACGCCUGCCCGGUGCUGGAAGAUUAAAUGAUGGGGUGCAAGCUCUUGAUUGAAGUCCCAGUAAACGGCGGCCGUAACGAUAACGGUCCUAAGGUAGCGAAAUUCCUUGUCGGGUAAGUUCCGACCUGCACGAAUGGCGUAACGAUGGCCACACUGUCUCCUCCUGAGACUCAGCGAAGUUGAAAUGUUUGUGAUGAUGCAAUCUCCCCGCGGAAAGACGGAAAGACCCCAUGAACCUUUACUGUAGCUUUGUAUUGGACUUUGAACAGAUCUGUGUAGGAUAGGUGGGAGGCUUUGAAGUGUGGUCGCUAGAUCGCAUGGAGCCAACGUUGAAAUACCACCCUGGUGUGUUUGAGGUUCUAACCUAGGCCCGUAAUCCGGGUCGGGGACAGUGCAUGGUAGGCAGUUUGACUGGGGCGGUCUCCUCCCAAAGCGUAACGGAGGAGUUCGAAGGUACUCUAGGUACGGUCGGACAUCGUGCUAAUAGUGCAAUGGCAUAAGCGGGCUUAACUGCGAGACUGACAAGUCGAGCAGAUGCGAAAGCAGGACAUAGUGAUCCGGUGGUUCUGUAUGGAAGGGCCAUCGCUCAACGGAUAAAAGGUACUCUGGGGAUAACAGGCUGAUACCGCCCAAGAGUUCAUAUCGACGGCGGUGUUUGGCACCUCGAUGUCGGCUCAUCUCAUCCUGGGGCUGUAGCCGGUCCCAAGGGUAUGGCUGUUCGCCAUUUAAAGAGGUACGUGAGCUGGGUUUAAAACGUCGUGAGACAGUUUGGUCCCUAUCUUCCGUGGGCGCUGCAGAUUUGAGGAAGCCUGCUCCUAGUACGAGAGGACCGGAGUGGACACACCUCUGGUGUAUCGGUUGUCACGCCAGUGGCAUUGCCGAGUAGCUAUGUGUGGAAGAGAUAACCGCUGAAAGCAUCUAAGCGGGAAACUCGUUUCAAGAUGAGAUCUGCCGGGGCCUUGAGCCCCCUAAAGAGUCGUUCAAGACCAGGACGUUGAUAGGUCGGGUGUGGAAGCGCAGUAAUGCGUUAAGCUAACCGAUACUAAUUGCUCGUGCGGCUUGACCUA